CACGUAGGGGGCAAGCGUUGUCCGGAUUUAUUGGGCGUAAAGAGCUCGUAGGCGGUCUGUCACGUCGGCUGUGAAAACCCGGGGCUCAACCCCGGGCCUGCAGUCGAUACGGGCAGACUAGAGUGUGGUAGGGGAGACUGGAAUUCCUGGUGUAGCGGUGAAAUGCGUAGAUAUCGGGAGGAACACCAGUGGCGAAGGCGACUACCUGGCCCACUCUUGACGCUGAGGCGCGAAAGCUAGGGGAGCGAACGGG
rnacentral:rRNA from 1 species